AAGCUAACUGAUUUAAAACAACUUUUUUGAUGACAAAUCAAAUUGAAUUCAUUACUCCAGAUAUAGCAUCUCCGUAUACUCUUUUGUAUCUCUGUAUAAGGCUAUAUCUCACUUAACGCCAUAAAUGAAAUCGGUUGAUGAUUAGUACAAAGUAAUAUGUACAUUAAAAGUAGAAAGCUUUCGUUUCAUAUUUACAGAUGGCUUUUUCAUUGCAUUCACUAAUAAUCGAACAGACAAUGUAACAAAUAGAGUAACUGCUAAAGUCAACAAUAAACAGUAUUCACAAGGACUAGCUUGCUUUCGAUUAUGGUACUCACGUACUAGUGGAAACAGAAUUACAAUUAACGUUUACGUUUUGAAGACAAAAUGGCAAAAGGAAACAUCAAUUGUCUUGAGAAACGCCGAUGAAGGAAAGUGGAUGCAUGUAUACAUGAACUUUAACGCUUCGAAAGAUUUCAAAAUUGAGUUUGUCGGUAAUCUUGGCACAAACAGAGUGGGAUAUGUAGCUGUUGAUGAUACUGUUAUAACAACUGGCAUGCUAUGCUCAGCAGGAUCGAAUAUAUAACAUUGUUCUAACAAACAUUGUGACUUUGAAAAUGGAUUCUGCGCUUGGAAGCAACUGUUACAAAACUCUGAAGAUGACUUUAACUGGAAAAGAAGUGGCAGCACUCCUAGUGCCAAUACUGGACCAGAGAAAGAUCAUACUUUUGGAAAUGGAUAUUACAUAUACAUUGAAUCAAAUAAAAAAGAUGAAAAUAAUACUGCUUGACUGUCAGUUUUACUUGACGGCAAUGGACAAAAAUGUUUCUUAUUUUGUUUCUACAUGUAUGGGGAAGAUGUCAACUAUCUUCAUAUAUAUGUUACAACGCACGCCGAUGGUGAACAACAUGUAUAUUCUGCACACAAAAGCAAGAGAAAGCAAUGGGUAGAAGCGCAAAUCGAGGUUAUUGAUAAGGCUUAUCAGAUCAUACUUGAAGGUGUAAUAGGUAUUGGUGAUUUAGGAGACAUAGCCGUUGAUGAUAUAAUGAUAAGAUCUGGUGUUUGUAAACCAAGUAAGAUCAAUGAGUCAGGAGAUCACAUCAGUUAUACAUGUCUUGUAUAGAAUGUAUCAUCUUAUCAUGUACUUAAUGAUAUAUUAAUAGCGAUAAGGUUUGUAGUAUCCUCCAUGUGAAGAAGACAUCAAGCAUGCUCACGGAAAGUCGACGGUUUUACUCAGAUGCCCGUGCAUGUCUUAACACGGAGCAUCAUCUUGGUCUUCCUACACCAUCAAAUACCAGAAGAGUCGCCAUAUAACCUGAACUGUGUGAAAAAGGAGGAGCUCUUACUGCAGUUUAUAUUUUGGUUCCAACAAUCAUUACCGUUGUAGUGGUCAGUAGUGUUGCAAUAUUUAUAUGGAGGAAAAGAUAUUCGAGCAAAAAAACAUCCUCUGAUGCUCCACGUGAAUCACCGUCAGAAACUACAGGUUCUGUCAAUUCUUCAAGAACCAAUGAAACGUACACAGGUCAUAUCGUUGAAACUCAAAACAAUAAUAUGCACUCUAAGGCAAGUAAAGUAGCUUCUGAUGAAAGUGAAUAUACGGUAAUUACUGACGACAAUAUUCAGCCACAUGACUUUAACAAAACGGAAUACAGCAUUAUUAAUAUGAACCAGAAAAUUAAGCAAGACAAUGAUCACGUUUAUGAUCAUCUGAAACAUGCAUUAUAACAUACUCGUUUCUAUUCCCGUUAAGAUACAAUGGAACCGGAAAGUCAAUAUUUUACCAUACACUGACGCCUGAAUUUCAUAUCGGGUGCGUUAUGUAAUUUAAUGUAUGUCGUUGCAUUAAUUCCUUUAUGAAGUUCUUUAUUGUCAAUGCUUUUUAACAGAGCCAUAUUAUUGACAUUACAUUUAUACGUGUAGAAACGUAUGUGAUAAACAGCUUACUAUUUUGUCAUCGGGAAGUAUGUACUCGAUCUUUAGCUCCUCAUGUCGCUCAAUAUUUUCGCUGCAGAACUCGUGCAUAUUUCCGAAUACAAAGUUAUCGCCUCAUAUUGAUAAAUCAUACUCUCAUGUGUUGCCAAAGAACAAUGACAAUUUUGAUAGAGUCGAUGGGUCCGGGAAGUUUGCUGCAUCUGCAAAUCAAGCUCAGAGAGGAGACUUCAACCCUGCUGUUUAGAGUUGGACGGAAAGACUUACAAACAUAACGACGGGACAAUUCAUUGUAGUUUAAAACAAAUCACACCAAGUUUCCCGUUUAAAAUUGAAGAUAACCUUGAUGUAAAAUACGACCGGGCAAAAUCCCGGGACCUCGAUCCGUCAGUUGCAAAACGUGAUGACUAUUCGCAUUUGCUUACUGCGGAUUCAAAUACAGAUCCUGUGAUAGAAAAGCGAGCUAAUUGUCUUAAAAAGAGUACAGGUAAUACUAAAGAGAAUGCUGAAGAAGACAAGUGUUUUACUGUAUUGGCAAAAGAUGGGAACUUUGAUGAUCUCCCUGGAACACAGGAUUCGUGUAUUCAUUUAUAACUUAGUUUUAGGAAAAGAGCAAUGAAUGUGGAAAAGAGCUUAUAUUUGCUAUCUCUGAUUAUUAUCGUAUUAAUAUUUUUAUUUAUUUCUGAGACAAGCUGAUCUAACAGUUACUUUUAUCAAAAAUAAGAAGUACAGAAUACAAACAUUGUGUCUAGAAUAUAUUGGAGAAUGAAAUCAGAAGAAACAUAAAAUCUGUAUACGCCAUUGUAUUAUCACUCUGUUGGUUAGUUUAUUAACAGACAAGUAGGUAUAACAGAGUGAUAUGUCUGAACCUACGGGCCCAGUUUAUAUGUUUGACAAAAGUACCAUCGGUUCUUUAAGGAGUAUUCAUGGCAGUCGCCUUAUCUAAAUCUAUAUCAUAAGUAAAACAAUUUUAGUGUAUGUCAAUUUAUUGAAUUCCUAUUGAUUACGUUUAAAACUGUGUUGCUCUAGUGUUAUUGCAUUCAAAUCAAAAUCAGGAAAAAACGCCAGCAGUACGCUUUAUGAAAAUAAAGUAUCUCACAAAGUUACUUUAGAUUAUAUAAGGUCUCAAGAACGUGUAAUACUGGGAUAUACAGAUAUUUUAAAAGAUAAAUAGUGCCUCUUUAAAGAAUAUAGAGAAAAUUGGCAUGUACGUGAAACACAAAUAUGCAGUUUACAAGCACAAAUGCGACGUAGAGUAAUACAUCAACCUCAAUAUGUCUUAAAACAUAUGAACUUGGUGAAAUGGAUUUUUGUAUUGUUGACUUCCGAAUAGAAGACGAGAAUGGUCUGACUUAUAACGACACGUGGAGAAAUGAAAAUCAUAUGAACCUAAAGAAGUGUAUAUUUAAAUGUAUCUACCAUUUUAUUGUUAUCCCUCCUUUUACUUGUGAGAAGGUUGCUUAGAAAAAUGAGAUUGUUUUCAAUUCCGAAAAUAAGAACAAGCAAGAAGAUUGAUCCGGAGGCAUAUGUUGAGGUUAUUUCAAGAAUUUUGUUUAUUCGGUUGCUUGCAUUUUCUGUUAAAAAUAUCACAUCAAUAAAGAUACCAUUUACAUUUACUUGUUCGCAUUAGGCCCCAGGUCAAGUGCCUUCAGUAAAUUGUAUAAGUAUGUUUUCAAAUUCAAACAAUCACUUGUUUCAAACUGUUAGGUUUAAAACAAUUUAUUAUUUUAUUUUAAACAUAUUCUGUUCUUUCCAUUGUUAUGAGUGUUCAACUGCUUUGUGAAUAAAGUGCCCUGCAUGAACGCUA